GUGCUUGCUACGGUGGCACAUAUACUAAAAUUGGAUCGAUACAGAGAAGAUUAGCAUGGCCCCUGCGAAAAGGA
ensembl:snRNA U6 U6 spliceosomal RNA